rnacentral:lncRNA from 1 species
GGGCCCCAUUGUUGCCAGUCCCAGACAGCUUCUUCCCUCCAGCUUGUACAGUUGCACAAGGAGUCUUGGAAGAUGUUGCCUUCCUGCUGGCUGCUGAGAAUUGGGCCCUUACAGGUCCAAAAACUGAAGGUGCAGAGGAACAGAGACAUUGGGAACAAAGCACAUGGUGUUUCCUUACCGCCUUGGUGCACUGCACAUCCUUUCCCAGCAGCCAGUUGAGCUCCAAGUUGCCCUCUCCAUGGUAGCAGGACUGCAACCGCUCCUUGAUUUGCAAGUUGAUGGCCCGGAUGGGGAAGGCACAGAGGGCAGAGUCAUCAGGGGGGUGGUGGUACUGCUUCUGCCCCUUGGAGAAGAUGGCAAACAGGACAUCUUCGUCGCUGCUGAUGUUGAAGGCCUGAGCUAGAGCUUCCCCUGGCUUUGCAAGGUAAGCUGCCUGCAGAAGGCGAUAUUCCACCCCAGCACGUGUGCAGCCAAAAGGCAGGGACACAUAGGAGUGGAACUUGGGGUCAUCCUUGCAGAGACGCACAAUUCUUGAGGUAUAGAAGAGGUCUCCAGCUGAAUUGAUGGCCAUGCCGUCAGGGGUCUCUGGCUGGACAGUGAGAAAGUAGACAAACCCCCCACUGGCAAAGCCAUAGAUGUAGAAGAUGUCGAAGUGAGAGACCAGGGCUAGGGUGUCAGAGGGAAUCUUGAUGAGGGAGGAGACAAAAUCACUGUGGAGCUCAUAGUCCAGCAUUGCUGAAGACUCAGGGUCACGGGGCAGCUUGCGGCUGGACAGAGUAGGGAAGUAAUCCUGCUUGCCAUCCACAGCAGUGCCGAUAAAAAGCUUGCCAUCUUCCCCCUCAGAGCGCACAAUCACACCAUACAUGGUGCCUGUCUUAUUGACACUGGACAAGUAGUGUUCCUUCUUGUGGGAUGGCUCCACCAGGAUGAAGAGGUCAUCUAGUCGCAGGAGCUUGCAAACACCCUGGUAGAGGCUUCCGCAGGCCAGCAGGCGAUUCUCAGAGUAGUCAAUGAUCAGUAGUUUGUUGACAUUGUUGGUGAGUGUAAGCACUUCACUGCAGGGCUGUACAAUGAGGGGUGGGUAGCAAGCCUUGUUGUCCUCUUCUGGCCCUGUCUUGUGAGCCACCUGGAUGGUGAGGUUGCCAGUCAACUUGUAGACACGAUUGAUAGCCCCCACAUACACAGCCCCUGUUCUUCGGUGUACAGUCAAAUGGUUGAAAGUCCAGUCACGAUUCUCAGAGUGGAAAGUGCUGUACUGAGGCAUACCUGUGGUCCCACGAGCUAGCAGGAGCCAGGCCACUGAGAGCAGAACCACAGACAGGUUGUCAGCCUGCAUGGCCCGCAGAUAGAACCUCCUCUGCUCCAUCCCUAGAGGGGUGAGGCUGGGGGACAGCUCCUCUAUGUAUUUGUCCACUUUUC